rnacentral:rRNA from 1 species
CCUACGGGUGGCAGCAGUGGGGGAUAUUGCACAAUGGGGGGAACCCUGAUGCAGCGACGCCGCGUGGGUGAAGGAGCGUUUCGGCGCGUAAAGCCCUAUCGGCAGGGAAGAAGAUGACGGUACCUGACCCAGAAGCCCCGGCUAACUACGUGCCAGCAGCCGCGGUAGUACGUAGGGGGCAAGCUUUAUCCGGAUUUACUGGGUGUAAAGGGGGCGCAGACGGCAAUGCGAGCCAGGAGAGAAAGCGCGGGGCGCAACCCCGGGACUGUUCUUGGAACUGCAUGGCUGGAGUACAGGAGGGGCAGGCGGAAUUCGUGGUGUAGGGGUGAAAUGGGUAGAUAGUAGGAAGAGCAC